GGGGACGAGCUGAGAAUAAUUCACAGGUCGGUUUACACAACUCGAGUAAGAAACUUAUUUUCAAACUCCCAGCACGAUUGGUAAUUUACAUACCUGGCCAGUAUGGUUAAAUUGGACCGAAUAAUCUCUUUGCAUAGUAAUCAUCUCAAUGACUGUAACUCGACAGAGCAAUUGUUAAUGACUAAUAUUUUACCCAUCAGUCUGUGCAGAUAUUAAUAUUCUCUAUAAACUCACUGGUAAUCUCAGACGCACGCGCAGUUUGGUUUCUAUGUAGAGCAUGCGCAGUGUCACAUUGAUCAUUGAGAGAGACAUAGAGCUGCUUUCUCCGGCAGCGGCUGCGAUCGGCAUCAGAGAGCUGCGCGUGGGAACCUCGCUGGUUCCUCACAAGUCCUGGAUACAGGUACCCAGGGAGUUACUGACUCAAUAGACUUGCCAACUGCUGGGUGGGAAGAUGGUUGGUUAGCCAGAGAGACAAAGGUCAGAGAGGUCAGGAGCCUUCAAUAAAUCCUGCCGCCACGUAAGAUCAUUCACAGUGCACAGAGCAGAGAGCAAUGAGAGGGCUCCAAACAUCAGCCAAAAAGACAUGACAUAGCUAUAGUGCUGGAGAGGAGCACAGUACAGACACACCCUAGGCUCAGCCACCACCUUUACAUUAAGUUUUGUUGUAUUGGGACAGCAUCGGGAGUUUUCAGUUUUCAAUCCUGGCAUGUGCUGUCUUGGUGAGCAUCAGGACAACAGAGGGGAAAGCAGGCCUCCCACGAGAGGGUGGUAAUGCUUCCUGGGAUCUUUCUGUUCCCUAUUCCCUCGCCAACACUGUAACUAUGGCUUGUCUUGUGGACCAGUGUCUUUAAUCAUUCUAACUCCUAUAACAGUCCCUAUCUCUGUCAUCUCCUCCCCUCUC